GUGACACAUGACGACAUCGCAGCUUUUAGGAACUGUUAAAGUGGAAAUCACUUUUCUAAUCGUAGAUGCUGCUCCUGUGAAGCAGAAAACCAAAGCAGUGAAAGGUCAGAGUCUCCUAUGUCACAGACAUAUAAGGAAUAGAUCUGUUCCUGUCUAUGAUAAAUGUGCUGUCUUUAUACUGGAGAUUGUUUGGGUUAGCUUAGCACGUAGCGACUAGUCCCACGUGUUUGGUUAGCUUAGCACGUAGCGACCAGUCUCACAUGUUUGGGUUAGCUUAGCACGUAGCAACCAGUCCCACAUGUUUGGUUAGCUUAGCACAUAGCGACCAGUCUCACAUGUUUGGUUAGCUUAGCACGUAGCAACUAGUCCUACAUGUUUGGUUAGCUUAGCACGUAGCGACAAGUCCCACAUGUUUGGUUAGCUUAGCACGUAGCGACCAGUCCCACAUGUUUGGUUAGCUUAGCACGUAGCAACUAGUUCCACAAGUGUGGUUAGCUUAGCAAGUAGCGACCAGUCUCAAAUGUUUUGUUAGCUUAGCACGUAGCGACCAGUCUCACACGUUUGGGUUAGCUUAGCACGUAGCAACCAGUCUCACAUGUUUGGGUUAGCUUAGCACGUAGCGACCAGUCUCACAUAUUUGGGUUAGCUUAGCACGUAGCGACCAGUCUCACAUAUUUGGGUUAGCUUAGCACGUAGCGACCAGUCUCACAUAUUUGGGUUAGCUUAGCACGUAGCGACCAGUCUCACAUGUUUGGGUUAGCUUAGCACUUGCAGUGCUGGCUGAGCAGGGUCAGAGGGUAAAGGGGCGGGGCUAUGCUAUCAGCUGAGUUCUCAAAGGUUGGUCUUUGUGUCUCUACAGACUCUGCUGUAAACAAACUAAAAACUAAAAGCUCUGCAGCGGUGAACAAAGAAAUCAAAACAAAAAGCAGAAGCUCUGCGUCUCCUCAGAAAGAGGCGUCAGGUGUGCGACAGAAGAGGAAAGCAGCGACCAUAUUACUGAGGAGCAAAGCCAAGACCUCUGUGGCAAAGUCAGUAGGAGCAGAUCCUCAUCCUCUACGACUGCGAUCCAGAGCUGACGCUGAGAGGAGAUCCAAUGUUACGUCUCAGGACAGAAAGGAGAAAACAGCCAGACCCUCACCUGCACCAGCUGCAGCAGAGCCACCAGCCGAAGAAACUGUGACAGAAAAAAAGAAACAAAAAUUUUUCCAGUGCAUUUACUUCCCGGGAAAAAGCGCGCAAUACCCUCUGCGACCUUUCACCCCGGCCAUGUCGCCCGCCAUGCUGUCCCCGGCCGUGCGAUCCAUGUUGGAACAGCAGCAGCGAGCAGCAGCCAGAGGGCCAGGCCAAUAA
rnacentral:lncRNA from 1 species